rnacentral:lncRNA from 1 species
CAGAUGGGUUAGUAUUAUAGGUGUGGUACUAGACAGAUGGGUUAGUAUUAUAGGUGUGGUACUAGACAGAUGGGUUAGUUAUAUAGGUGUGGUACUAGACAGAUGGAUUAGUAUUAUAGGUGUGGUACUAGACAGAUGGAUUAGUAUUAUAGGUGUGGUACUGGACAGAUGGGUUAUGGGUAGUAUUAUAGGUGUGGAACUAGACAGGUGGGUUAGUAUUAUAGGUGUGGUACUGGACAGAUGGGUUAGUAUUAUAGGUGUGGUACUAGACAGAUGGGUUAUGGGUAGUAUUAUAGGUGUGGUACUGGACAGAUGGGUUAGUAUUAUAGGUGUGGUACUGGACAGAUGGGUUAGAAUUAUAGGGGUGGUACUGGACAGAUGGGUUGGUAUUAUAGGUGUGGUACUAGACAGAUGGGUUAGUAUUAUAGGUGUGGUACUAGACAGAUGGGUUAGUUAUAUAGGUGUGGUACUAGACAGAUGGAUUAGUAUUAUAGGUGUGGUACUAGACAGAUGGUUUAGUAUUAUAGGUGUGGUACUGGACAGAUGGGUUAUGGGUAGUAUUAUAGGUGUGGAACUAGACAGAUGGGUUAGUAUUAUAGGUGUGGUACUGGACAGAUGGGUUAGUAUUAUAGGUGUGGUACUAGACAGAUGGGUUAUGGGUAGUAUUAUAGGUGUGGUACUGGACAGAUGGGUUAGUAUUAUAGGUGUGGUACUGGACAGAUGGGUUAGAAUUAUAGGGGUGGUACUGGACAGAUGGGUUGGUAUUAUAGGUGUGGUACAAGACAGAUGGUUUAUGGGUAGUACUAAAGGUGUGGUAAUAGACAGAUGGGUUAUGGGUAGUAUUAUACGUGUGGUACUGGACAGAUGGGUUAGUAUUAUAGGAAUGGUACUAGACAGAUGGGUUAGUAUUAUAGGUGUGGUACUGGACAGAUGGGUUAGAAUUAUAGGGGUGGUACUGGACAGAUGGGUUGGUAUUAUAGGUGUGGUACAAGACAGAUGGUUUAUGGGUAGUACUAAAGGUGUGGUAAUAGACAGAUGGGUUAUGGGUAGUAUUAUACGUGUGGUACUGGACAGAUGGGUUAGUAUUAUAGGAAUGGUACUAGACAGAUGGGUUAGUA